rnacentral:rRNA from 1 species
UGCAGUCUAGGGGGGUAGCAAUACCCACCGGCGGACGGGUGCGUAACACGUGGGAAUAUACCUUUCGGUACGGAACAACUGAGGGAAACUUCAGCUAAUACCGUAUACGUCCUAACGGAGAAAGAUUUAUCGCCGAAGGAUUAGCCCGCGUAGGAUUAGCUAGUUGGUGAGGUAAUGGCUCACCAAGGCUCCGAUCCUUAGCUGUUCUGAGAGGAAGAUCAGCCACACUGGGACUGAGACACGGCCCAGACUCCUACGGGAGGCAGCAGUUGGGAAUCUUGGACAAUGGGGGAAACCCUGAUCCAGCCAUGCCGCGUGAGUGAUGAAGGCCUUCGGGUUGUAAAACUCUUUCGACGGGGACGAUAAUGACGGUACCCGUAGAAGAAGCUCCGGCUAACUUCGUGCCAGCAGCCGCGGUAAUACGAAGGGGGCUAGCGUUGUUCUGAAUUACUGGGCGUAAAGCGCGCGCAGGCGGUUCUCCAAGUCAGUGGUGAAAGCCCGGAGCUCAACUCCGGAACUGCCAUUGAAACUGUUGAACUUGAGGACGAGAGAGGUGAGUGGAAUUCCCAGUGUAGAGGUGAAAUUCGUAGAUAUUGGGAAGAACACCAGUGGCGAAGGCGGCUCACUGGCUCGUAUCUGACGCUCAGGCG